rnacentral:rRNA from 1 species
GAUGAACGCUAGCUACAGGCUUAACACAUGCAAGUCGAGGGACCGGCGCACGGGUGAGUAACACGUAUCCCACCUGCCCUUUACUCGGGGAUAGCCUUUCGAAAGAAAGAUUAAUACCCGAUCUAAAGGAUGGGGAUGCGUUCCAUUAGGUUGUUGGUGAGGUAACGGCUCACCAAGCCUUCGAUGGAUAGGGGUGCUGAGAGGAAGGACCCCGGGAUUGUAACUGAGACACAGGCCAAACUGGUACGGGAGGCAGCGGAGCGGAAUAUAUGGCAAUAGGCGCUAGCCUGAACCGGCCAAGUAGCGGGAAGGAUGAGGGGGUAUGAGGCGUAAACUUCGUGGAUAUAAGAAGAUGUAUUAGAUGAAUAAGGAUCGGCUAACUCCGUGCCAGCAGCCGCGGUAAUAC